rnacentral:lncRNA from 10 species
GCCUCCCAAAGUGCUGGGAUUACAGGCAUGAGCCACCACACCCGGCCGAGUAUUCACUUUUAUGAGCAUCAAGCUCAAAUGAGAGUAUAUUUAAAUUAUUUUAGGUUGAAAUUUCUCAAAAUUGAAAAUCUGAGAACCCACCUCUACAAAAACACCUUAAAAAUUAGCUGAGUGUGGCCAGGCGCGGUGGCUCAUGCCUGUAAUCCUAGCACUUUGGGAGGCUGAGGCGGGCUGACUGCCUGAGCUCAGGAGUUCGAGACCAGCCUGGGCAACAUGGUGAAACCCCGUCCCUACUAAAAUACGAAAGAAAUUAGCCAGGCACGGCAGCGUGCGCCUGUAGUCCCAGCUACUGGAGAGGCUAAGGCAGGUGAAUUGCUUGAACUCGAGAGGCAAAGGUUGCAGUGAGCCAAGAUCGUGCCACUGCACUCCAGCACUCCAGCAUGGGCGACAAAGCGAGCCUCCAUCUCUAAAAAAAAAAAAAAUAAAUAAAAUAAAACUUAGCUGAGUGUGGGCUGGGUGCGGUGGCUCACGCCUGUAAUCCCAGCACUUUGGGAGGCCAAGGCGGGCGGAUCACCUGAAGUCGGAAGUUCGAGACUAGCCUGACAAAUGUGGAGAAACCCCAUCUCUACUGAAAAUACAAAAUUAGCUGGGCGUGGUGAAGCAUGCCUGUAAUCCCAGCUACUCAGGAGGCUGAGGCAGGAGAAUCGCUUGAACCCAGGAGGCGGAGGUUGCAAUGAGUGGAGGUUGCAAUGAGCUGAGAUUGCACCACUGCACUCCAGCCUGGCCAACAAGAGCGAAACUCCAUUUAAAAAAAAAAAAAAAUUAGCUGACUGUGGUGGUGCACGCCUGUAGUCCCAGCUACUUGGGAGACUGAGGUGGGAGGACUGCUUGAGCCCGGGAGGCGGAGGUUGCAGUAAGCAGAGAUUGUGCCACUGCACUGCAGCCUAGGCAGUGAGACCUUGACUCAAUUAGGAAAAAAACAAAAAAACAAAACAGAUACUAGAACUGAACCAAGUGGCAUAAUUCAAAAUGUCAAGUCAAAAAUAACUCUGUAGCUUAUAAAAGUGUUUAAUUAUAAAUAACAUUCUACUAGGAAAGAAAGCAGACAGGAGGGAAGAAAUCAAAUUUUAAAUAACAUCCUACCAGGCAUACAGGCGAGAGAGGAAGAUACAAGACUAAGUAAAUUUUCUGCUAUAAUGUGGAAACCAUGGAAACAAAUCUGUAUUUUGAGUUGGUAGGUAGGAAAAGACACCAUGCUGGCUGUUAGGCAAGGCCUGAGAUGACAGGAAAGCCCUUUUGGCUGUGCCUUUACUACUCAAGAAAUGUCUGAAAUAAUGCAUCACGUAAGGUGAGAGAGUACUCCUUUCACAUCCGGGUACAUCCUCACCCUCCUGUGGUAGAAGGGUAAACUGAUGCCUGGGCUCUGAAUACAAGUCCCAUUCAACACUGCCCAGCACUGCACCCAGCUCUGCUACCCCAUUCUUAUCACCAGACUCCAUGUUAAACAUCCUCUGUACAGAGGCCCUUUGAGGCCCAAGAGGUCUCCCUCCAAUACUUGGAACACAUCUUUCUUCUCUUAGCACCUUCACAGCCCAAAUUUCAGUUUCUAAAUGAUUUCUUCCUUAAAAUUGAUGGCUCUUCCACCCCCGAACUUUUGCCCCAGGAUGCAUCACAAAUAACCUCCACAAGGCCCACUGUACUUCUGUCAUGCAAACCAUCAUUCUGGCAUGUGUAACUAAGAUAUACUGAUGCCCAAUUAUCACAAUCUGUCUGCCCUCACAAUAAUGGAGCUCAUUUACUCCCUGGCAAAUCCCACUCUCCCGGCCCCCUCCACCCCACGGUGUUUAGUCAUAUAUCCAGCCUCUAUUGGCGCUUGAUAAAAUGCUUCCAAGAUGUUGAGUCUGUCUCAUAUCAAAAGGGGCCUUUUCAUUGUGAGCAGGCCUACUCUUGGUACCAUGAUCACCUACAAUCUUGUAUGGUUCCCUAGGCUGUACUAUUGCCUACUGUUUUUUUUUUUUUUUGAGACAGAGUUUCGCCCUUGUCGCCCAGGCUUGAGUGCAGUGGCGCAGUCUCAGUUCACUGCAACCUCUGCCUCCCAGGUUCAAGUGAUUCUCCUGCCUCAGCCUCCCAAGUAGCUGGGAUUACAAGUGCCUGCCACCACGCCCAGCUAAUUUUUUGUAUUUUUAGUAGAGAUUGGGUUUUGCCAUGUUGGGCAGGCUGGUCUCAAACUCCUGACCUCUGGUGAUCCUCCUGCCUCAGCCUCCCAAAGUGCUGGAUUACAGGUGUGAGCUACGACGUCUGGCCUUAUACUAUUGCAUACUGUUAAAUGAAUAUUCCUACACAGUACCCUCUCCCAUCUUGGGGACUCUUGAGUUGCUCUGAGGCAGGCAGGUAGCCUGUAAUAUGCUCUUCAAUCAAACACUUUUAUUCCAGGGGACUCUCCUCAAGUGAGAACCUCCCCCUAUCUUGCGAGGGUCAGUGAUGUCCAAGGUUUGCAGCACAAGAAAAAUACUCACAGACCAUGCCUCAAGGUUUUAAGUCAAGGUCUCUAAAUUUCUUAUGGGCAAGAUUCUGGUUGUUCCAAGAUGCCCAGGCAGAAAUAAUGUUUCCAAGAGAACCAAAGAGCUGCUUCCAAAACAUACAUACUGCCACAGAUGGAAAAGACCCUUCCAGUUCAUGCUUACAGACAUGCAGCAAUUAACAGCCACUCUCUGGAGAAAAUGUUAGGAUACAACCAGUAAUAUACAUUCACUACUAGGCUUUUGAGAAAUAAGCUAUGAAAAUGCCAACCUGACAUUGCUUCCCCAAGCCAAUGGAUCUUUCUAUGUAUGGUGCAUCAAUCUAAGUUAGGUAAGAGGGCUAUAACUUGACACCAAUCCUGAAGAUGUCAUCACAUUUCUACCUAGUUUGUCACAACUGGGCCCUGUGUCCAUAUAAAACCAGUUUUCCUAUCAGGACCACAAAAACACCUAUGUCCAAGCAUCCAUGCUUGGCUGAGGCUGAAUUAACACCCUCUGUAUUGGUUUGCCACCUUCAGGGUACAUCCCAAAAUUCUGUUAGGCUGGUAUUUGUUGUAUUUUUUCCAUCUAUACUUGGGCCAGAAAGUAUCUUAGAGUUCCUAUUAGCAUAAGAGCAAUCAUCGUGGCUCACUCUGUAUUUGAAUAAAAAAGAGCACAAACUAUAGGACGGGCGCAGUGGCUCACGCCUGUAAUCCCAGCACUUUGGGAGGCAGGCAGAUCACGAGGUCAGGAGAUCCAGACCAUCCUGGCUAACACGGUGAAACCCUGUCUCUACUAAAAAUACAAAAAACUAGCCAGGCGUGGUGGCGGGCGCCUGUAGUCCCGGCUACUCCGGAGGAUGAGGCAGGAGAAUGGCGUGAACCCAGGAGGCAGAGGUUGCAGUUAGCAGAGAUCACGCCACUGCACUCCAGCCUGGGC